GAUGAAGAACGCAGCGAAAUGCGAUACGUAAUGUGAAUUGCAAAUUCAGUGAAUCAUCGAGUCUUUGAACGCACAUUGCGCCCCCUGGUAUUCCGGGGGGCAUGCCUGUCCGAGCGUCAUUGCUGCCCUCAAGCAUGGCUUGUGUGUUGGGCCCCGUCCUCCGAUCCCGGGGGACGGGCCCGAAAGGCAGCGGCGGCACCGCGUCCGGUCCUCGAGCGUAUGGGGCUUUGUCACCCGCUCUGUAGGCCCGGCCGGCGCUUGCCGAUCAACCCAAAUUUUUUAUCCAGGUUGACCUCGGAUCAGGUAGGGAUACCCGCUGAACUUAAGCAUAUCAAUAAGCGGAGGA
rnacentral:misc_RNA from 1 species